rnacentral:rRNA from 1 species
UGUGCCAAAGCCUGAUGCAGCCAUGCCGCGUGUGUGAUGAAGGCUCUAGGGUUGUAAAGCACUUUCAGUGGGGAGGAAAAGUUUAAGAUUAAUACUCUUGAACCUUGACGUUACCUGCAGAAGAAGCACCGGCAAACUCCGUGCCAGCAGCCGCGGUAAUACGGAGGGUGCGAGCGUUAAUCGGAACUACUGGGCGUAAAGCGCGCGUAGGUGGUUUGAUAAGCUAGCUGCGAAAGCCCCGGGCUCAACCUGGGAACUGCAGUUAGAACUGCCUGGCUAGAGUAUAGUAGAGGGUGGCGGAAUUAUCCUGUGUAUGCGGUGAAAUGCGUAGAUAUAGGAAGGAACAUCAUUGGCGAAUGCUCUCAUCUGUACUAAUUACUGACACUUACGUGCGAAUGCUUGGGGACCUACCUGGAUUAGAUACCCUGGUAGUCCACGCCGUAAACGAUGUCAACUAGCCGUUGGGAGGCUUGACCUCUUUAGUGGCGAAGCUAACGCGAUAAGUUGACCCGCCUGGGGAGUACGGUCGCAAGAUUAAAACUCAAAUGAAUUGACGGGGGCCCC